rnacentral:rRNA from 1 species
UACAGAGGGUGCUAGCGUUAAUCGGAAUUACUGGGCGUAAAGCGUGUGUAGGUGGUUAGAUAAGUUAGAUGUGAAAUCCCCGGGCUUAACCUGGGCAUUGCGUUUAAGACUGUUUAGCUUGAGUACUGUAGAGGAUAGUGGAAUUUCCAGUGUAGCGGUGAAAUGCGUAGAUAUUGGAAGGAACACCAGUGGCGAAGGCGACUAUCUGGACAGAUACUGACACUGAGACACGAAAGCGUGGGGAGCAAAC